rnacentral:rRNA from 1 species
GGGCCCGCACAAGCGGUGGAGCAUGUGGUUUAAUUCGAAGCAACGCGAAGAACCUUACCAGGUCUUGACAUACUCGUGCUAUCCUUAGAGAUAAGGAGUUCCUUCGGGACACGGGAUACAGGUGGUGCAUGGUUGUCGUCAGCUCGUGUCGUGAGAUGUUGGGUUAAGUCCCGCAACGAGCGCAACCCUUAUUACUAGUUGCCAUCAUUAAGUUGGGCACUCUAGUGAGACUGCCGGUGAUAAACCGGAGGAAGGUGGGGAUGACGUCAAAUCAUCAUGCCCCUUAUGACCUGGGCUACACACGUGCUACAAUGGAUGGUACAACGAGUCGCCAACCCGCGAGGGUGCGCUAAUCUCUUAAAACCAAUUCUCAGUUCGGAUUGCAGGCUGCAACUCGCCUGCAUGAAGUCGGAAUCGCUAGUAAUCGCGGAUCAGCACGCCG